GAUGAACGCUGGCAGAAUGCUUAACACAUGCAAGUCAACUUGAACUUCGGUUUGGGUGGCGGACGGGUGAGUAACGCGUAAAGAACUUGCCUCACAGUUAGGGACAACAUUUGGAAACGAAUGCUAAUACCUGAUAUUAUGAUUUUAGGGCAUCCUAGAAUUAUGAAAGCUAUAUGCGCUGUGAGAGAGCUUUGCGUCCCAUUAGCUAGUUGGAGAGGUAACGGCUCACCAAGGCGAUGAUGGGUAGCCGGCCUGAGAGGGUGAACGGCCACAAGGGGACUGAGACACGGCCCUUACUCCUACGGGAGGCAGCAGUGGGGAAUAUUGGACAAUGGACCAAGAGUCUGAUCCAGCAAUUCUGUGUGCACGAUGAAGUUUUUCGGAAUGUAAAGUGCUUUCAGUUGGGAAGAAAAAAAUGACGAUACCAACAGAAGAAGUGACGGCUAAAUACGUG
rnacentral:rRNA from 1 species